UGAAGGCUCCAGAAUUUCUGUGGGACUGUGCUUAGGUUUGGACUUUGGACACGUGGAUUGACACUGGACUUGCUGCUAGCAAGGAUGCCAUAGAAUGACACCCUGUCCUAGCUGACAAAACCGGAUCCUUAUGCACCAGUUGCCUGAAGGAAAGCAACAUCAUCAUCGUAAGCCUGCAAAGAACAGCCUGCCAACAGAACCUCAGUGUGAAGGAAGGACAACUGUGUUCCACAAUCAAAACGCUCCAGGGUGGGGUGAUUUGCCAAAAAAACAAACAAACCUGGAUGUCUGUACACACCCCUUUAACAGGAGGACCAAUGGUGGACAAAAGGCUACUCUUUGAGAAACAUUAUGUACAUCAGGCAGGAAGCAGCUUGACCAUGUAGGA